rnacentral:lncRNA from 1 species
AAAACUUUUAGGUAAUUUUUUUCGAUUAAUUUUUUAAUUUUCGAGAAUAAAGAGAGAGAGAAAAAAAAAAAAACAGAUGGGAUUAUGUUUGUCUGGGAGUGAUGUGAGGGGAGGGAAACAAGCCGUAGGUGGGGCCCACCUCCGGCCCACCAGCGCGGCUGAUCACCACAAUGUCUCUGGUCAAAAUGACGCCGUUGAUUUCUUCUUCAAAUCUCGCGGCCUUCAUGCCCUUUUCACCCAAAUCGAGGUAUAUGUGUGUACCUGAAUUAUAUGAGUCUUUCACUGCCACUAUUAAUAAACUAUUUUCAGUUAAUUAAUUAAUUAAUUAAAAAUCUAUGAUUAGUUUAUGUUUUUUAAUUUAUUUUUAAUUUUUUAAAUCUGAUUUCGUUCAUGUUGGUAAUUGUGAUGGAUUCUAAAACGGUCACUCGUUUGAAAAUCUAUUCUCAAAUUAUGUUUGUUAUUAUUACUUAUUUGAUGACUUUUCAGUGUAACAUCGAACAACUUAAAUCAUCUAUAUUUGAUAAAAGUUAUUUGAUAAUUCGAACAUAAUUAGAGAGUAGAUUCCUAUUCAAGAAUCAACCGCAAUCCCAAACAUGCCUUUUUUUUGAAUUUGUUCUGGUGGCUGAUCUUUUGCUAGUGUUGGUUCGACGGUUUCACACCAAGCAACUGCUUUUGUUUUGCAUAUGGAGAACAGUAAGUUUAACUGCUUAUACCCAAUGACAACAUUCUGUGAAGUGAAUUUUAGAUUAAGAUUGGUUAAGGUAAAUAAAAAAAGAAUGGUGUUGAAUGCACAGUGGCCUUGUGAACAUUGAAAAAGUCGAUGUUUGAUCCUGUUGAAUGCACAGUGGUUUUCCUGUGUAUCCUCAAAGUUGACUAUUCUGUUAUGCCUCAUUUAUCAAAUUUGACUCAUACCCCUCGUGAUCAAAUUUGACUUAUACCCCUCGUGAAGAUUCCCCAUGAUAAUGCUCCCCUGAUUGGAACAUGAUUUUGUGAAUGCUGGUUUGCAUAAGACAAACCAUUAACUUUAUAAAAGAUUGUGGAUUAAGGAUUUUGUUGUUACGAGGAUAAGAAUGUCUUUCCAUAACGUAGACCACCAAGUGAUUGUAAUAUUCCUGUAUUGAUGUGGACCUUACCUGAGGAUCUCCUUGGAAACUUUCCUGGAGAAAAGGCAACAAGUCAUAUGAUAACAAAUUAAAUGUGGUUCAAUGCUUGUAAUUGACGUGUCACAUCCUGUUGUUAUAUAAAACUUAAUUACAUAUAUUAUUGCUUGCUGCUUAUAAGAUUUAAUAUUAGAAGUGAUUCUGUCAGAAUCCGAAAUGAUGGUUUUCUGCAUGUUCUGUUUAUGACAGAUAUAUAUUGCCUGUCAGUUGAAUAAAUAAUACUCUUAUUGAGUCUAUAUAUAUAUAAUUAUAUAUGAUAUAAAAUUAAGAUUCUUUUUUUUUGUCGUAAUACAUAGAAUUGUUCGUACUAUUAUUAUAACAAAAUAAUUAAAAUUUAUGAGUUGAAGUUGUCAGAAAAAUAAACUUAUUUCCAAUGAAUGGCAUUUGGAGGAACAAAAUCAAUCCGGAAGUUUUUUACGCGGAAGUUUGGAGGAACAAAAUAAAUCCGGAACUUUUUUACGCGGAAAAAAAAUCAAUUAACAUUAAUGACGUCCAAAUGUCCAAAUAUAAUGAGAAAUUGAAUUCUUCAAUACCUUGCUGUUUCUUCAUAUUUCUUUAUAAAUUUACCGAUUCUUUACUCUAAAUUCUAGUAUUUGUCUUCGUAGAAUGUAAACUUAUUCCCUAAGAUAUGGUUAAAAAAAAAAAUAAUAAAAUCUAAUCAUUUGGUAGUGCGCAAACUAAUAUCAUAGCUAAAAUGAAGUUGGUAAAUUAUCUAUUAUUAAUAAUUAGGUGGGCCUAAACGUUCCAACUUCCAAAUACAGUAAAACAAUCCAUCAUCUACAUUAUUCUAUAUUUUGGAGAGAAAAAGGAAAAGGCAAAAUCUUUUAGAUAAGAAAAAAAAAAUUUUUUCCUCAUGAAAAAGCAAUUGAAUUAAAAAGUAGAAAUUUCUUUACAUUCUCGCCGGAGAAACAGAGUCAAAUUCAAAUACGACGACUCAAGCGCAAAAAGCCUAUAAAUAAAGCCCGGCUCCUGUUCCCUGUCAGAGGCUACGGAUUUGAGAGAUUAAAGAACAUCAACCGAACAGUGAGACUCCGUACUCUUCACACAAACUUGCAAAAACUUUUAGGUAAUUUUUUUCGAUUAAUUUUUUAAUUUUCGAGAAUAAAGAGAGAAAAAAAACAGAUGGGAUUAUGUUUGUCUGGGAGUGAUGUGAGGGGAGGGAAACAAGCCGUAGGUGGGGCCCACCUCCGGCCCACCAGCGCGGCUGAUCACCACAAUGUCUCUGGUCAAAAUGACGCCGUUGAUUUCUUCUUCAAAUCUCGCGGCCUUCAUGCCCUUUUCACCCAAAUCGAGGUAUAUGUGUGUACCUGAAUUAUAUGAGUCUUUCACUG